rnacentral:rRNA from 1 species
CCUACGGGUGGCAGCAGUGGGGAAUAUUGGGCAAUGGGCGCAAGCCUGACCCAGCAACGCCGCGUGAAGGAAGAAGGCUCGCGGGUUGUAAACUUCUUUUAUCAGGGACGAAGCAAGUGACGGUACCUGAUGAAUAAGCCACGGCUAACUACGUGCCAGCAGCCGCGGUAAUACGUAGGUGGCAAGCGUUAUCCGGAUUUACUGGGUGGAAAGGGCGUGUAGUCGGGAAAGCAAGUCAGAUGUGAAAACCAUGGGCUCAACCUGUGGCCUGCAUUUGAAACUGUUUUUCUUGAGUACUGGAUAGGCAGACGGAAUUCCUAGUGUAGCGGUGAAAUGCGUAGAUAUUAGGAGGAACACCAGUGGCGAAGGCGGUCUGCUGGACAGCAACUGACGCUGAGGCGCGAAAGCGUGGGGAGCAAACAGGAUUAGAUACCCGAGUAGUC